rnacentral:rRNA from 1 species
CUGCUGCCUCCCGUAGGAGUUUGGGCCGUGUCUCAGUCCCAAUGUGGCCGUUCACCCUCUCAGGCCGGCUACUGAUCGUCGCUUUGGUAGGCCGUUACCCUGCCAACUGGCUAAUCAGACGCGGGUCCAUCUCACACCGAUAAAUCUUUUCCGUCAGUAUCAUGCGAUACCAGCGGGUUAUGCGGUAUUAGCGGUCGUUUCCAACUGUUAUCCCCCUGUGUGAGGCAGGUUACCCACGCGUUACUCACCCGUCCGCCACU